GGUUACAGCCAUACCAUUGUGAACAUGCCUGAUCUCACCUGAUCUUGGAAAAUAGCAACAAGCCUGGUUAGUAUUUGGAUGGGAGACCACCUGGGAAUAUCAGGUGCUGUAGGGG
rnacentral:rRNA from 1 species